AACGAACGCUGGCGGCAUGCCUAACACAUGCAAGUCGAACGAUUGCCUUCGGGUGAUAGUGGCGCACGGGUGCGUAACGCGUGGGAAUCUGCCCUUAGGUUCGGAAUAACAGCUGGAAACGGCUGCUAAUACCGGAUGAUAUCGCGAGAUCAAAGAUUUAUCGCCUGAGGAUGAGCCCGCGUUGGAUUAGGUAGUUGGUGGGGUAAAGGCCUACCAAGCCGACGAUCCAUAGCUGGUCUGAGAGGAUGAUCAGCCACACUGGGACUGAGACACGGCCCAGACUCCUACGGGAGGCAGCAGUGGGGAAUAUUGGACAAUGGGCGCAAGCCUGAUCCAGCCAUGCCGCGUGAGUGAUGAAGGCCCUAGGGUUGUAAAGCUCUUUUACCCGGGAAGAUAAUGACUGUACCGGGAGAAUAAGCCCCGGCUAACUCCGUG
rnacentral:rRNA from 1 species